CGUACUUUCUAUAAUAAAACUCCUGCCAGGUUUAAUUCUCACGAAUCGAAACCUGCACCCUUCGUUCUGCAUAAAGAACCUGAAAGAAAACGACCGUUACCAUCUCUCCCCUCUUCGCACAACACACAGUCGUCAUCGGUUCUGGUUGCUGCGUGUCCGACUAACCGAGCAUCCCCUUUUUGCCAGCCCGGAAACAGGUAAAAAUCAGGGUUUGCGCGCUACCUUUGACCCCGUGGGAUCGUAGAAACAGGGUGUGUAUUGUGCGAAGAAAUUUUCUCACGGGUCAUCGUCGUAACACGCGUGCACCCGUCGAAACGACUAUUUAAGAGCCGCUACCUGCCUUCGAUCUCCGCAGAAGUAGCUCGCUACCCGAGCAGAAAGGUCACAGAGUGUCCUGGAGGAAGAUUCGCGGCGAUAUCUUCCGGCAAUGGUCUCGAGGACCAGCUCGAAGAUGGGAUCAUCGGAUGGAGACACGCAGUUUAAAGUUUAAAGAAUAACCGAAAUCGAAGAAAUAGGAAGACUAAGAUCAGACGGAACAAAAUUUCGUUAAAUUCGGGAAAGAGGAAGGAGGAAAUGAAGAAAGACGGCUACUACUGUGAAAAAUAGAAGCGUUAAAGGGCGCGUCAAAGGCUCGACAGGAUCCAAAGCACGGAACCCCGAUUGUUGAAGUUUCGAGAACGUUUAGAGAAGUACAAAACGGAUGACGAAGGAAGAAGAGAAAGAGGAAGAAAAAAGUUCAAUUUAAGGGAAAGAAAGGAAACGCGAAAAAGGAUAAGAGAAAUUUUAAAAAAUUAGAGAUUCCUGAGCCGAAUGCGCGUCGGAAGAUCAUUGAACAAAAUUUCAUAGUCUGAAAACAGAAAUGAGAAAUAGUAUAAAUUUGAGAAUCGUUGUACCGAAAAAAAUGAAUAAACCGAAAAACGAAGAGAAGCUUUUGAAACUCUUUCAAAUAAAAACAAAAGUCCAAGAAGCAACGACGAUCGAUCGUCAAACAUAGUGUAAUGAUAAUAACUCUAUUGAUUGGCAUUUCAGUUACAUCGAAAUUCUACGAUUUUAACAAAAUCUCAAAGUUAAUGAAACGUAGCAGAUAAAAUAGAGUACAAGUAGCGUUAAAGUCGAAGCAAAAUUCAAAACCGAACAAGCUAUAUUUAAAUUAAAGCUUUCAGAUACCUCGUGAAUUAAAAUUAAAGGUUAUCAGCUGAAACUGCCAGAAAAGAAAAGAACAAAAAAAAAAAAAAAAAAAAGAAAAAGAAAAAAAGAACAAAAAAAGAAAAGAAGGAAGAAUUCUUCACCUUUUCUGCCCCAUUUUAUAAGCCAAACAGAAUGAACAAAAUUCAAUUGGAAAUUCAGAGAUCGUUUUGACAAUAUAGAAUCGAAAUUAUCGACUUUCGGGAUAACACGUGAAAAUUAAUUAGUCAAAAAACGUACAGCGUUGAGCAGAAAAUUGUAGAAUCGACUGUAAUAAUAUUUUUAAUUUACUUCCGACUUCUUAAAUGAUGAUAAUAAUAGAAAAUGAUCGGAGUGACGAGUAGAGCGAAGAGUUAAGGAUUGUUUUAGUUAACGUUUUAUAACGAUCGGUAAGAAAAUUAUCGUUCAGUUUUUAAAUAAUUGUUCUCGUUUUCUAGCCCGUUAAGUUUGUUCCUCGUUUAUUUGUCAGUCAUUGAUUUUCAAACGACGUUACAAAAAUUCCUAGUUCUUUGUUAAGAAAAUUUAACCGCGUUUCCCUUUGUUCUUGUUAAGUUUGUCGUUCUCUCUUAUUUUCGUUAAUGUUAACAUGCCAGCUGUUGAGUUAAUGUUAAUCACCUGAGCUCGAAGAAUCAAAGUUAACGUUUAACCGGGUUGUGUUUUUGUUUUAUAUUCGAAGAAUUGGAAAAGAGAAGGUAUUUUAGGCUGAAAGUAUACCAUGUUUACGCAUAAGAUAUUAAGAGAUAAAUUGUGCGCAAGAAUGGUCAAUAUCAUUGUACUUUUCGCGUAGAAUACUCGCGUUUCACGUGGACAUUCCGUUUCUUUUCGACGAUCGGUUAAAAAAAAUCUGUUUUCCCCAUUGUUCGUUGUUUCGUAGAAAACAAAUUUUUUUUACCGUUGAAUUGUCCCACAGACGAAGUUAACGAUCGGGUGAAAAGAAAACGAAGAAAAUUUGUUCAGAAAACAAAAAAAAAAAAGAAAAAGAAAAAGAAAAAGAAAAAAAAAGAAAAAAGAAAAGAAAAAGAAAAGAAGCGUUAGGAAAAGGAGACGUUUACAUUGUUUUCUUGUUUGUCCGUAGAUAUUUCUACUUUUGGUUCUUCACCGCCGUGCCUUGGCUUUUACUUUGCAAAUGAUCGAUCGCGUUAAUCGCGUGUUCGUGAUACCAUAUAUCUCUGAACGAACGACUUACGAUUAUCGUAGUAUACGAAUAUUAUAUCGCGCGAUACGAUACAUAAAUGAAUUGAUCGUCCGUUUAAUUCGUUUAUUUAUUUGUUUCAUAAAUUGGCGAAUUGUAAUUUUAAGAUUAAGACCGUUGUAUCGAUACUUGUUUAUUUAACCGUAUUUAACUCGCCGAUCGAUUACCGAACGAUCGAACGAUAACGGUUCGUUCGUUCGCUCGAUCGUUGAUCAUCCCAACUUGCUGCGUGUCGGUUCGUUAAACGAUUGUGUCUUUUAAUUGUAAUCGUGUGUAUUCGAUAAAAUAUUAAUCGAGAAAAAGAAACGUAGCCGGUGAGAAGCGUUUUAAAUAGCCGUUUAUCAAUUAUAAAUUCGCGUGCCGAUUAAUCGACAUUGUAAUUAAUACUUUUAAAUAGCGUGUGUGUACGAGUGAAUCUUUUUAACUCUACCAUUGAUCCAAUUUUUCGAUCUUGAUGUAAUUAUGCCUGUGAACAUUAAUGAACAACGAGAGAAGAAUUGACUGUUAAGCGUGUACGAAUUAAAAGAUACGUGUAAUUAAAUACCUUUGGCAUUCUGUAAAGUAUUUAAUGUACCUAUGAGCUCUGCAUAAAUAAAAAGCAAGUAACUUGCAUCGCAUUACGCCAACUA